rnacentral:lncRNA from 1 species
GCUGGAAGAGGUGGGGCAUUGGGGGAGUGUCUUUGGGAUUUAUAUUUUGUGCUUGUUAAGCAGAGCCCCCUACCCUGCACUUCCUGGUGCAAUAUUCUGAGCCACUUUCCUCCACCACACUCUUCCUCCACAAUGUCCUUCCUUACCUCAGGCCCCAAGGAAUGGAAAUAUGCCACCUCUGGACAGAGACCUCUGAAACUGAGAGCACCAGAUAAACUUUUCCUCCUCUAAAAUUGUUCUUGUCAGGUCCUUUUGGUUACAGCAGUGAAAAUACUGACUAAAACACUGCUAGACCAUGUACUUUCCAAUGACAAUCACUAAUUUUUUAGUCUUUGAUUCCAGUUUUAGAAUAUCUACUAGAGUGAAGCCAUAAUGAAAUUAGGUGAAUCUACACUAAAGGAAUUUCUUAACCCUUUUGAAGAUGUAAAUGGACUCCAAGUGGCAAAUCAUCACACUGAGAAAGUCAGAACUAAUGUUGAAAACAGAAUCCUGAAGUCUCGAUUUCUUGUGCUGUCAACAUAAACCACAGAAGCAAUCUGUUUUUCUCUCAGUUAAGAUAAAUCUGGUCAGGAUAUAGGACUUUGCUUCUGGAUGCAUAUUUAGUUCAUGUUAAGAAGCUGUUCCAGUCUCUGGAUGGGGUGUAUGAAGAGUAACAUGGGAAACAAAGAAAAUAAAUUAGGUAGAUCAUCUUUUUAUAAGAUGCAGAAAAAACGCUUUAAACCACGUUGAAUAGGAGAUUGCUAAAAAAAAAAAAAUAGCAAAAAGAGCUUACUAUAUGCAUUAGGCAAAUUCAAUUUGCACAUAAAUUAGAAACUUGAGUAGCAACAACUUGAAGAGUGGUAAGAAAAGCUACUGUAUCAGCAGGUUUACAAUCUAGUCAGUUUGGUAUCUUGACUGAGUUAUAAAUAAUGAAACCUCAAUCUGUUCUUCAAAUAUAUUUUAUGAAUAGUUUAGAAUUUUUAGAGCACGCGUCAUAGGUUCAGAAAUAAAGUCUAAUUAACUAAAGGGGAAUGUUGUAGCAUAAAAGCACUCUGACUCCAUAAAAAUUUCUUGUGUGUGCUGAUUAAAAUGGGUCAUGCUCACACCUAGAAAAUAUUGCUAAUUUUCAGUUUCAGGUUAAAGGUUUGCUGUGAACUACGUAUGCCAUUUGGAAAAAGGCUUUUCUUUUAUGGCUUUUAUAUGACAUGAUCGAUAUCUUCUUAGUCUUUGUUUAUUUGUCAGAAGUACACACAGAUGAGUCUUAUAUUUUUUCAAAAAAAUGGAUUCCAAUUUCUUCUCUGAUGUCAUUUUUAAAAAAACUCCAUAUAAAGUGAGAUUUAAAAUCCCUCUGGUUUAUAAAUUAAGUAGUUUUUCUUUAUUUUUUUUAAUCUAUUAAGAAUACAUACAUACAUGCCUAAACUUAAACUAUAACAUUUAGAAUUUUUCUAGAGAGAGUGGUAUGGAGAUCACCACAGCAAAGCAUCAGGGCUUGCUAUGGCCCUAAAGGAGUUACUACUAAAGGAGUAUGAGUCAAGUUUUAUUUUUCAGUGUAGAAUUUUCCAUUGAGGAAAGUGUGAUUCCCUAUGCUGAAGAAAAUGCUAGAAGAAAAUUGCAAUAAUUUAUGCUGAUGAGGUAUUGAGAAUCCUUAUAUGGUAGCUUUUGCCAACUAUUCACCAAAAACUGUCUCCACUUCUUCCUGGACACUCAGUCAGACUACAUUUCCCAGUGUGUCUUGCAUUUAGGUGUGGAAUGUGUCUCCAUUUUAACCAAUAGACUGUGAUUGGCAUCUUGAGGGGAGGAGAUACCACUCUCCAUAAAACCUCUUGUAUGGUGUCCUCAUUGCUCUUUCCCUUUUUGCCUACAGAUGAUAAUUACACUCCAGGAAAUUGAGGAGACACAAGAUAGAAAGCUUAUUAAAUGAAUUACCAUGUGGAGGGUAACUCCUGUUGACAAAGAAAAUGUGUGCUUUGGGCUUUUAGUAAGUGAGAAAUAAAUUUUUAGUAUAUUUGAAUGUCUUCCUCUGCUCUGUGUGUGUAGGGGGAGAGAUUAUAAGAUACAGAUUGGUGUAUUUUAAUAGACCUAGUUAUAAUAAAUUUUGUUUAUCUGAAUUUAUUGUGAGAUAGCAAGUAAAAAUAGGGAGAAACAACAAGCAAACACGCAAAACCUUGUAAGUUGGUUUGUAUCAAGAGCUUGCUUAUAAGAAAUUCUUGAGGUUUCACUGGGCCUUCCUUUCUUAAAGCUUAAUAAGAAUAAAUUGUCACUUUGGUCAGUUAGAUGAUAAAAUUUGAAGUACCAAAAGAUUCUGAAGUGCCCUGAAAUGCAGUGUGUCUUAAUAGGGAUGCUAUUUAGAUUUCUCAGUUCCUACAUUCCUAUUUUAAUUUUUAGGAUUUCUAGAUUUUGAAAACUUUGGUUCUGUCACAUGAUGAUGGAUAAGGUAAAGACCUAUUCCAAAAGUAACAAGGAAAACAGUUUCUCUUUUGCAGUAAACUCUUACACAUCUUCAUUUGUAUGCAGUGUUUUUGUUUUCAUGUAUUUUUUUUGUUGCUGUCACUGAUAUGCUAAUGAUAUGCUAUUGCUAUCUGGAAUGCAUUCAGCUACACACCACUGAUUUGAUUUUUGUGCAGAGAAGCAAAAACCUGAGACUUUAGCAAUGAUUACAAUCUUCUGCUCAGUGAAGAAAGGCCUGGAGGCACAGAUUUAGAUACAUAUAUACAAAUUAAAAAAAGAAAAAAACGAUGGAUGGUGAUAAUCUUAUUACCUUGAGUUUUCCAUCUCUUUUGAGUCUUCAUGGUACAGACUGAAUAUUCUGUAAGUUGGUAACCAAAUUUUAUUUUUGAUUUACAACUAACCCAGGAACUAAAAGGGGCAAAUUGCUAAUAAUAAAAACACACCAGAAACUGAAAUUUCAAAGCCAUUUUUAAAAAUUAGUGUGUUAUUAACCAAAAUGGAAAUUAAUCUGUGUUUUUCUUAAUACUUGCUAAAGAAUUAAGAUGCAUGACCAUAUGAUGAAAGUAUAUGUAUGUACAUGUGUUACAUGUGUUGGUGUGUAUAUAUUACUUAUUAUUUAAUAUUUUAUAUUUGUAAACAGUUCUCUAAGAAAAUUCCAUAUUUUGGAGGAAUAAAACAUUAUAGGUAUCUGUGCAUUUCAAAAUUUAUUCCAGAAGAAAUAUAAGGAAAUGCUUUUUUGUCAAUUUAAGAAAUUCUUGUCAUUUAAUGAGGGUCAACAACAUGGCCAAAAGACAUUGUACUAGCUAGUGGACAAAUAAGUGUGAAUUAGACAUACUCCAUGAUUUCACUAGAUAGAGAACGCUGCUUGAACAAGUUAGAAGUGAAUGUUAACGUACUUUAUACCUUACUGGGGAUAAGUUAUCUCUUUCCUGAGAUUUUGCUGACAUAUUUGCUAAACUAACCAAAAUUUCCUUCUAUUGAGAAGGUGCAUAAAUAAGGCCUUGAAUCAAAGAAACUUGGAUUCGGGCUGGGGAUGUGGCUCAAGCGGUAGCCCGCUCACCUGGCAUGCGUGCGGUCCGGGUUCGAUCCUCAGCACCACAUACAAAGAUGUUGUGUCCGC